AAGUGUGCUCAGAAUGAGGUGCUUCGGUUUCAGACCUCCCACAGUGUCACCCAGUCAUCCCCUACCCCCAAUCCCCCCAUCUUCUCCUUGCCUCUUGUAGGCCUGGUGGUCAUCUCGGCUUUGCUCUGGUGCUGGUGGGCUGAGACGUCGUCCUAAUGCAGGUACUGGUAUUGCUUCCUCUCCUUCUGAGGGAUAGAGGGAGGGUGCAGGUUGCCCUGGCCUCUCCUCUUUCCCUUUUCUCCCAGCUGCUUGCUUCUUGCUUGUGCCAUUUUAUAAUAGGUGAUGCUCAGGUCUGAGUUUUAGUUCUGACUUUUCCUUGGGCUACUGCAAAGCCUCUGACAUCUCUGAGCAUGUCUUCGUAAUGCAUAGGAGGUUGGAAUGCUUGCCAGAGACAUGGUUUGAGUUUCAAUCCUUGGCUGGGAAAAACUUGGAUAAGCCCAGCUUGGUUGCUACUGUCAAAGCUGCCUCACUACUUCUUUAUCCCCGCUCAUCCUCUGUGUGAUGGCUAGCCUGACCACUUCUGAUGAGCUGAUAUUUGCAAGGCUGGCCUGGACUCUCUUUGUCUUG
rnacentral:sRNA from 1 species